CUACGGGUCGCUGCAGUGAGGAAUAUUGCACAAUGGGGGGAACCCUGAUGCAGCAACGCCGCGUGGAGGAUGUCGCAUUUCGGUGUGUAAACUCCUUUUAUAUGUCAAGAAAAUGACGGUAGCAUAUGAAUAAGCACCGGCUAACUCCGUGCCAGCAGCCGCGGUAGUACGGAGGGUGCAAGCGUUACUCGGAAUCACUGGGCGUAAAGGACGCGUAGGCGGGUUGGAAAGUCAGGUGUGAAAUCCUACAGCUUAACUGUAGAACUGCACUUGAAACUUCUAAUCUAGAGUAUGGGAGGGGGAGAUGGAAUUAGUGGUGUAGGGGUAAAAUCCGUAGAUAUCACGAGGAAUACCUAAAGCGAAGGCGAUCUCCUGGAACAUUACUGACGCUAAGGCGUGAAAGCGUGGGGAGCAAACAGGAUUAGAUACCCCCGUAGUC
rnacentral:rRNA from 1 species